UUUGACCUCAUCAGGUGAGC
rnacentral:rRNA from 1 species